rnacentral:rRNA from 1 species
AUUGAACGCUGGCGGCAGGCCUAACACAUGCAAGUCGAAUGGUAACAGGAAACAGCUUGCUGUUUCGCUGACGAGUGGCGGACGGGUGAGUAAUGUCUGGGAAACUGCCUUAUGGAGGGGGAUAACUACUGGAAACGGUACCUAAUACCGCAUAACGUCGCAAGACCAAAGAGGGGGACCUUCGGGCCGCUUGCCAUCAGAUUUGCCCAGAUGGGAUUAGCUAGUAGGUGGGGUAACGGCUCACCUAGGCGACGAUCCCCAGCUGGUCUGAGAGGAUGACCAGCCACACUGGAACUGAGACACGGUCCAGACUCCUACGGGAGGCAGCAGUAGGGAAUAUUGCACAAUGGGCGAAAGCCUGAUGCAGCAAUGCCGCGUGUAUGAAGAAGGUCUUCGGGUUGUAAAGUACUUUCAGCGGGGAGGAAGAGAGUAAAGUUAAUACAUGUGCGUAUUGACGUUACCCGCAGAAGAAGCAACGGCUAACUCCGUG